CUCGCCCUGGACAUUUAACAAGGGGCUCUCGAGCUGGCUCCAGCACAGCCCUGCUCCGGAGGCGGGGCCGGAGGACUAGAGCGCUCCGGGAUUGGUGGGCUGUGAGAGGCACUGAGGCCUCUGAUUGGCCGAGGUAUCCUUGCGCGCGCUUGGGUGCGCUCUCUGGCCGCCAUUCGGUUCCGCAGCUGGUGAGCCAGACGUGCAGGGCUGGAGCGGGGUCGGGAGGGAAGGUGGGCAGCGUAAUAGGAGUCACGCACGGAGGCUGCGGCGGAAAAAGAGAGAGACGGAGCUGGAGGGUGGAGGGCCUGCACUCUCCAGGACCCUGCCCUGCCCGAGGACAGGAGCCCCGAGGAAGGAAUGGCUUCUGGGCAGCUGACAGCCAGGCUCCAGGUGAGUCGACUCUCCCUCUUCCAAAAUGCUUUCUUAUCUCCCUUCUCGUGAAUGGCCUUGGCCCGUCUCGGUCUGACCCACAGCCUUGGGACUCACUUAGUCUCCCCCAGCAUAUUCUGGCCAUUCUGAUGGAUGAUGGAGAGUCACAGGACUUUGGAGUCAUGACUGCCCUAGAUUUUUGAGCCCGUGCAUCAGCCCUGGGCUGGCAGGCUGUGGCCUGAGGGGCAGAGCUGUCUGCCACCUGUCUCUGCACAGCCCUCGCACCAAGAGCGGUCUGUGCUUAUUAAACACAAGUUCUUGUGGAGUGCAGACCCUGACGUCCAGCGUGUUAACUCUUCCUUCUGGGAUGGUUUUUGGGGGGCUCACUUUGGGAGAGCACAUGGAAGACCAGGGAAACUGUCCGUGUGGUACGAAAUCUCAUGCCAGAAGAGGCCCGGUGUCCGGAGGAUCCAGAGAAGCACUCAGUGGCCGCCUCCUCCUAUUCGGUCAGCGUUUGUUAAGCACCUACUCUGUGCCAGGCACUAUGCUAAGCACCGGGGACACUUAAUCAAAAGAAAGACAGCCCCUGCCUUCAGGGAGCUUACAGUCUGACGGGGUGGAUGGCUCACAGAAGGAGACAGGAAGGGUACCUCUCGUUCUGUGGAGUUGACACAGGCAGAACAGCGCAUGCAAGGUGGAUAGCCCACCCCUGGGAAGGAGAAGGAAUGCCCCUGAGCCUGCUGGGCCAGUUUGGAUUCAGCCUUGGCUUGAAGACCUUCCAUGGGGGCAAACAGAUCUUAUUACCUCCUCAUAGAAGGCUAAUGGUUAAGGAAGCUCUGCCAGGCCCAGGCCUACAUUUGCUCUGAGUUCUGUCCUUUGGGGGCCAAAGAGAACAGUCUGAUCCCUUGUCUUUCACACCCUUGGACAUGGCCGCCAUGCCCCGAAGUCUUCUCCUCACCGGGCGACUCAUCUUCACUACUCGGUGCGUCCCUCUACGACAUGAAUUGAAGGCCCUCCAGCAUCCUGGUGCCCUCCUCGGGACCCUCUCAGGGUUAUCAGUGACCUUCCUAAACUCCGACCCCGAGGGCUAGACACAAUGCUCCCCUUGGGGUAGGGGCGCUAGAGUAGCACUUGUCUCAGGGUUGUUGCAAAGUAGCCACAGGCCCCGGCCAGUCUGGACGAGGCAGCUGGCAUUGGGUCCUC
rnacentral:lncRNA from 1 species